rnacentral:lncRNA from 1 species
AAGGUUGCCUUUGUAGUUAAGGGUCCUGGUCUCUGAUCCUAACUUUGCUACUUACUUUCUAUCUUAUUUACCUUGGCCAAGUCCCUUAACUACUACUGGAAGACUCAGUUUCUUAAUGUAAAAUGAAAAAUCUAGACUACUGAGCAGGCACAAAUUGGAUUUGGAUGUGAAGGUACUUUUUCAAAGAAUAUAUAUAUAUUUUUUAAAAUAAAUCUUCAGUGACAAGUAAAAGAAGAUAAAGUCUCCAGAGAGACAAAGGGGAAUCCUGACUCUCAGAAAGGAAUACAUUCUCUGAUCAAGAGAUGGUCCUACAAAAGUCCAGAUGAGAG